GGAGAGGUCGCAUAGUGGUCUAGUGCGCACGCUUGGAAAGCGUGUGUACCGCAAGGUACCCAGGGUUCGAAUCCCUGUCUCUCCGCC
rnacentral:tRNA from 1 species